rnacentral:rRNA from 1 species
CAGCAGCCGCGGGAAUACGUAGGGUGCAAGCGUUAAUCGGAAUUACUGGGCGUAAAGCGUGCGUAGGCGGUUUGUUAAGUCUGCUGUGAAAUCCCCGGGCUCAACCUGGGAAUGGCAGUGGAUACUGGCAAGCUAGAGUGUGUCAGAGGAUGGUGGAAUUCCCGGUGUAGCGGUGAAAUGCGUAGAGAUCGGAAGGAACAUCUGUGGCGAAGGCGACUAUCUGGGCCGACACUGACACUGAGGCACGAAAGCGUGGGGAGCAAACAGGAUUAGAUACCCGCGUAGUCCCUGUCUCUUAUAC